UACGUAGGGGGCAAGCGUUGUUCGGAAUUACUGGGCGUAAAGGGCGCGUAGGCGGCAUGGCAAGUCGGGAGUGAAAGCCCGGGGCUCAACCCCGGAACUGCUUUCGAAACUGCCAAGCUAGAGUGCGGAAGAGGCAACUGGAAUUCCCAGUGUAGCGGUGAAAUGCGUAGAUAUUGGGAAGAACACCGGAGGCGAAGGCGGGUUGCUGGGCCGACACUGACGCUGAUGCGCGAAAGCCAGGGGAGCGAACGGG
rnacentral:rRNA from 1 species